rnacentral:rRNA from 1 species
UAGGCGGCUUUUUAAGUCAGGGGUGAAAGACGGUGGCUCAACCAUCGCAGUGCCCUUGAUACUGAAGAGCUUGAAUACAUUAGAGGUAGGCGGAAUGUGACAAGUAGCGGUGAAAUGCAUAGAUAUGUCACAGAACACCGAUUGCGAAGGCAGCUUACUAUGAUGAGAUUGACGCUGAGGCACGAAAGCGUGGGGAUCAAACAGGAUUAGAUACCCUGGUAGUCCACGCCCUAAACGAUGAAUACUCGCUGUUAGCGAUACACAGUUAGCGGCUAAGCGAAAGCGUUAAGUAUUCCACCUGGGGAGUACGGUCGCAAGAUUGAAACUCAAAGGAAUUGACGGGGGCCCGCACAAGCGGAGGAGCAUGUGGUUUAAUUCGAUGAUACGCGAGGAACCUUACCCGGGCUUGAAAGUUAGUGAAUCAUUUAGAGAUAGAUGAGUGAGCAAUCACACGAAACUAGGUGCUGCAUGGCUGUCGUCAGCUCGUGCCGUGAGGUGUUGGGUUAAGUCCCGCAACGAGCGCAACCCCUAUGUUUAGUUGCCAGCACGUUAAGGUGGGGACUCUAAACAGACUGCCUGUGCAAACAGAGAGGAAGGAGGGGACGACGUCAAGUCAUCAUGGCCCUUACGUCCGGGGCUACACACGUGCUACAAUGGAUGGUACAGAGGGCAGCAAGCUGGCAACAGCAAGCGAAUCUCCAAAAGCCAUUCACAGUUCGGAUAGAGGUCUGCAACUCGACCUCUUGAAGUUGGAUUCGCUAGUAAUCGCAUAUCAGCAAUGAUGCGGUGAAUACGUUCCCGGGCCUUGUACACACCGCCCGUCAAGCCAUGGAAGUUGGGGGUACCUAAA